rnacentral:rRNA from 2 species
AUACAUGCAAGUCGAGCGGAGAUUUGGGAGCUUGCUCCCAAAUCUUAGCGGCGGACGGGUGAGUAACACGUGGGCAACCUGCCCUGCAGACUGGGAUAACUCCGGGAAACCGGAGCUAAUACCGGGUAAUACAUCGCACCGCAUGGUGCAAUGUUGAAAGUUGGCUUUCUGAGCUAACACUGCAGGAUGGGCCCGCGGCGCAUUACCUAGUUGGUAAGGUAAGGGCUUACCAGGGCGACGAUGCGUAGCCGACCGGAGAGGGGGAUCGGCCACACUGGGACUGAAACACGGCCCAAACUCCUACGGGAGGCAGCAGUAGGGAAUCUUCCGCAAGGGACAAAAGUCUGACGGAGCAACGCCGCGUGAGUGACAAAGGCCUUCGGGUCGUAAAGCUCUGUUGUUAGGGAAAAACAAGUACCGUUCGAAUAGGGCGGUACCUUGACGGUACCUAACCAAAAAGCCACGGCUAACUACUUGCCACCAGCCGCGGUAAUACGUAGGUGGCAAGCGUUGUCCGGAAUUAUUGGGCGUAAAGCGCGCGCAGGCGGUCUUUUAAGUCUGAUGUGAAAGCCCACGGCUCACCCGUGGAGGGUCAUUGGAAACUGGAGGACUUGAGUGCAAAAAAGGAGAGUGAAAUUCCACGUGUAGCGGUGAAAUGCGUAAAUAUGUGGAGGAACACCAUUGGCGAAGGCGGCUCUCUGGUCUGUAACUGACGCUGAGGCGCGAAAGCGUGGGGAGCAAACAGGAUUAGAUACCCUGGUAGUCCACGCCGUAAACAAUGAGUGCUAGGUGUUGGGGGG